rnacentral:rRNA from 1 species
GACGAACGCUGGCGGCGUGCUUAACACAUGCAAGUCGAACGAUGAAGCCUAGCUUGCUAGGUGGAUUAGUGGCGAACGGGUGAGUAAUACGUGAGUAACCUACCUUUAACUCUGGGAUAAGCCCGGGAAACUGGGUCUAAUACCGGAUACGACCAAUCUCCGCAUGGGGUGUUGGUGGAAAGCGUUAUGUAGUGGUUAUAGAUGGGCUCACGGCCUAUCAGCUUGUUGGUGAGGUAACGGCUCACCAAGGCGACGACGGGUAGCCGGCCUGAGAGGGUGACGGGCACCCGGGGGACGGAGACAGGGCCGGGAGACGGAGGGGGGGGAGAAGGGGGGAAUGUGGAACAAGGGGGGCAAGCGGAAUGCAGGGGCGCCGAGUGAGGAAUGCCGGCGUUCGGUUUGGAAACCUCUUUAGCCAGGAAAAAAGAGAGAUUGACGGUACCUGGAGGAAAGGCGCCGGCAAAUUAGGUG